rnacentral:rRNA from 1 species
GGCUUAGAGUUUGAUCAUGGCUCAGGAUGAACGCUGGCGGCGCAUUUAAGACAUGCAAGUCGAACGAAAACUUUUCAUCGAAUUGAUAUGACGAUUUAUCUGAAUUGAAGUUCACCGAAAAGUUUUAGUGGCGGACGGGUGAGUAAUACGUAGAUAAUCUGCCUCUUAGAGGGAAAUAACAAGAAGAAAUUUUUGCUAAUGUCCCAUAAGACCACACUGUGGCAUCGCAGAGUGAUCAAAGGAGUAAUCCGCUAAGAGAUGAGUCUACGGCUGAUUAGCCAGUUGGUGGGGUAAUGGCCUACCAAAGCUAUGAUCAGUAGCCGAGCUGAGAGGCUGGCCGGCCACAUUGGGACUGAGACACGGCCCAGACUCCUACGGGAGGCAGCAGUUGGGAAUAUUGGACAAUGGAGGAAACUCUGAUCCAGUGACGCCGCGUGAAGGAAGAAGGUCUUCGGAUUGUAAACUUAUUUUGUCAGGGAAGAAACAAAUGACUGUACCUGAAGAAAAAGCACCGGCUAACUACGUGCCAGCAGCCGCGGUAAUACGUAGGGUGCAAGCGUUAUCCGGAUUUACUGGGUGUAAAGGGCGAGUAGACGGCGAUGCAAGUCAGAUGUGAAAUGCUAGAGCUUAACUUUAGAACUGCAUCUGAAACUGUAUUGCUAGAGUGCAGGAGAGGUAAGCG